AGUGGCCGACAAAUCUUCUUACCCGUCUUCCGAUGAGAGCAAUAAUCCUCGCCGCCGUGCCCGCGGCAUUGUCAUCCUCACCUCCGUCUUCCUUCUCUUCACUUGUCUCUUCAUGGUCGGCAUUACCUUGCGAUUAGCUCCUCUCAUUGACGACCUCGUGCGCAAGGAAAAUGAACUGCAGACGAUCACUUCCAUUUCCAGCAACGGGGACAUGAACAGCACAACCGGCAGCACCGGUUUAUUG
rnacentral:misc_RNA from 1 species